AAAAAAGUUCUCUUACCAAUUGGGCGAUUAAGUCGUUAGAUAGAUCCUUGAAUAAGUAUGCAUUCUCAACUGUACGACGGAAAAGGUGCUGGGCAAUACUGGUUCUGAUUGCUUUAGUCUAUUCUUGCUUCCAUAACGCAAUAUCUCAUUUAUGGAAUCCCUCUGCCAGUAGUAGAAACAACCAGCUGAAUGAACUGCCAACAGUGUAACCUGUCAUUGGAGAACAACCCAAAGAUACUUCUAUUUAAGCAGUGGUCUGAGAGUAGAAUAUUACAAUGCAAGCAACAUGUUACCUUGAGAAAAGUUCACUAACACGCCUUAGUCGCCAGAACCGAAGUAAGUUGAGGAAGCCGAAGACCUCAUUGCGGUUCAUCUCUCCAGUGAAAAUUCUGUAUAUUACCUGAAAUGGAAGAGUGGAGGCUACGUCCAUGGGGAACCACAGGCUUGUAAGCUCUUGAAACCACUUUUGAAGAUUUCAAUUUUCAGAACAAGUAGAUGGAAGAACAAACCCAAACCAAAAUAUUACUUGGAAUGGGUAAAAUGAACAUACCGUACAGCAAUCUUCUUGUGAUCAUCAACGAGGAGAUAAGUGGAUUUAUCCAAAUAAGCCACGAAGAAGGUCAAGACAAUAUCAAGGGCAAAGAAUGCAUCCACCACCAAAUCAACGGGUAAAAGAGACCCAGUUGCCACUUUCUUGAAGGCAAGUUCAAAGGGAGAUACCCACGCUGAGUACACCACUAGCACUACCAGGAAAGUUUGCCACCACCUGCAUUGCAUCAUCAUUCAUAUUCCAAAAUGCCCAACCAAAGUGGUCCGCUCCUUUCUCUCGCCAAAAGCAAGUUUGAGUAUCCAUCGGUCACAACAGUUCCAAACGCCGGCAAAAGGCUGCUGGAAACCGACGUCAAGUUCUUUAUUUCGCCACUUGAGUGCCGCCGGAACAGCAAAGGCAACGGCGACCUUGUUUCGGACAUUGGUGUCGUCAUUGUGUUUCAGCCUCUGCAAAUUCUAAUGACCCAGAAACAAGACGGUCACUUUUCCUGCAUGCCUGAGACUUUUUAUGCACACAAAAGAGGACUUCAUUAGGGGAGAGGACUUUAAGGAAGGCUUUGUGGAUCUCUUUUACCAUCAUUAAACAUAUGGUUAGUUUCUUGCUUCUUUGAAUGAACGAGGUUGUCCUAUGCAUUAUAUAUAUAUAUAUAUGUUAGACGAAUAUGACUUUCCAUAA